rnacentral:miRNA from 1 species
CGCCGCCCGCCCCCGCCC